AUUGAACGCUGGCGGCAUGCUUUACACAUGCACGUCGAACGAGUGGCGCACGGGUGAGUCAUACAUCGGAACGUGUCCUAUCGUGGGGGAUAACUGAUCGAAAGAUCAGCUAAUACCGCAUACGAUUGGAGCGGCCGAUGCCCGAUUGGCUAGUUGGUGAGGUAAAGGCCCACGAAGGCGACGAUGGGUAGCUGGUCUGAGAGGACGACCAGCCACACGGGGACUGAGAGACGGCCCAGACUCCUACGGGAGGCAGCAGUGGGGAAGUUUGGACAAGGGGGGCAACCAUGAUCCAGCCAUGCCGCGUGGAGGAUGAAGGUCUUCGGAUUGUAAACUGCUGUUGUCAGGGAAGCGGUACCUGAAGAAUAAGCACCGGCUAACUACGUGCCAGCAGCCGCGGUAAUUC
rnacentral:rRNA from 1 species